rnacentral:rRNA from 1 species
GUUGACCUCGGAUCAGGUAGGAAUACCCGCUGAACUUAAGCAUAUCAUAAGGCCGAGGAGGAAA